CCAGCUUACACCAUCACGGUGCAAAUGCAAAGGUUUGGUUGUGGUACUCACCAUCUAGCCCAGGGGUGGUCAACUCCAUGCCUUGAGAACCGGUGUCCUAAAGGUUUUAGAUGUGUCCUUGAUCCAUCAAAGCUGAUUUAAAUGUUCACAUUUAAAAUGUUCACAUUUCUCCAACGUGGUCUUCCUAACAGUUUCACCGGAUGGCAAGAAAUCCUGGCCAUCCAGUGUAGAUGUCAGUGAAACUGUUGGGAAGACAACGUGAACAUUUUAUUUGUACUGUAUAAUCUGCAGAUUCUGACAGAAAUCUGCAGCUAUCCUUUGAAGCACCGCUCCUCUAAAAGAGCAAUAAGGAUCAUUAUUAGGUUAUUUACAUUAUUAUGUAAAUAACAAAAUAAUUUAAAGCAAAAAUUGGGAAACGUAAAGUCCGAAGUCUUUAUAUUAAGGGCCAUCAGUCAAACAAUAUUGUUUGCUCUGGGUCUAAACAGAGCGCGUUGUGUGUGACGUCUUCUUUUGCGCAUGCGGGCCGCUUUGAGCGUUCACACUAGAGCGCGUUUGCUGUCACAUUUUAUUUGUAGUGUGAACAAGCAGACAAAAAAAUCGGAUUUGAUCAAAAAAUCGGAAUUGAGCAUUAAGACCUGCAGUGUGAACGUAGCCUUUAUGACCUCCUCAACAUUUCUUGAAGUUCUCCAGAUGCCCGGUAAUGAACUAAUCAUUUGAUUCAGGUGUGUUGACCCAGGGUGAGAUCUAAAACCUGCAAGACACCGACCUUCGAGGCCUGGAGUUGGCCACCCGUGAUUUAGCCAGUGAUGGAGAAGGGGAGCAAACUCAACCGGGGAAGAUCUGCAAUGAUUUGGAGAGCCCCUCUAGCAAGAUAUUGCAGCAGGUGGAGAACUGGCUCAUAUGCCGUUAGGCCAAACUCACUGAGGGUGCAGAAUCCAAGAUGGUGCAGUUGGAGUCUAUUCGUGUGGCAAAAGAGUUAAUUGAGAGACAGGCGAAUAACAUCAACAACAGCUAUAACAGCAACCUGGCCAGCAUGCAGUGGCCUACCUUUUUCAACUGUAGAUUUCUCCUGCUGAGGAGGGAGACGACUGAGAAUAAAGUCACAGGUACACCCAACAGUUUUCUAAACGAUAGGUGUCGCCAAUCAGACAAAGCCCCCACACGCUGCUGCCGGAGGAAAAAGAAGUCAAAACCAGAAGCAAAGAAACUGCAGAUUUUUUUUUUUCCAUGAAAACUCAAACUGUCUAAUAUAUAUAUCAUUAAAAUGGUGGCAACAACCGACACAAUCGUACACUGGUGUUUGUUAAACCGAUCUUGAUCAAUAGUUUUUUCUCCAGGCUUUCUGAACGUCUUUCAAAGUUUUCCUUUGGACGUUGGAUACUUUUUCAGAGUUUCAGUCCAGUCCUUG
rnacentral:lncRNA from 1 species